GCUAGUUUACACAUUUGUGACUUUUUUUCUGCAACUUUAAAAUCAGAACACAAGUUUGUGAUAACUGUCCACGAGUGCACAUCUCAACAUUCAACUUCAGAUUUUGGAUCUGGCAAGUUUUCACAUCAGGACUGUGAUUCUGAGCACUCCAGCUUCACGGUUGACUCCACACUAAUGGGUGAGGUAGAAGUAGGGAGAACACCUGAACCUUUGUUCUCCAGUGAGGAGGACGAUGAAGGCAAAGACACCACAAUGUAUUUCUGUAGAGGCCGUGAGCCACCCACUGCUCCUGUGUUUCCAGACUCCAGUUUGACAAGUGGCUGUAAAGAUGUGGGAGUGCUGGGAACUGUACUUGUGAUGGGAGAUCCAGACUGGGAGGAACUGAGACUGAUCACCUGAAGGAAAAGAUUACAUCUACAAUUACAGCAGAUAGGGCACGCACGCUCACAUCAUACUUAACUGUUCCCACCCCCUCACUCGUCUGCACUCACACUACACUUUCUGAACUGUACCAAGUAUGUUUACGUGAUUUAAAGAUGCAAUUGUUUUGAAGAAAACUGGAUAAUUUGCGUGAUGGAGUUCAUCGUAUUGUCAGUAUAAUCAUCAGGUGUGUUUGAAAGCAUGUGCUGCACAGAUUGCUUGGCUUAUGACCUUAAAUAACCAUAAGAGAUUUAAAAGCAUAUUAGUAGGAGUCUGUUCUCCAAAUACUCUCGGGCUACUUUAAUGUCAUAAACCAAUCAGUUCGCACAGUGGCCAUGAUGUCAAACACACCUCUGUUAUCUGGGGUUAUUUGGGAUGUGGUGACAUGGCUGUAUGUAUUUGUGCUGCACAUAUCAGAGUGUUUUACAGUAGAUAUGUUUACAUGCACCCAAUUAAUCAGUUUGUAUUUGUAUUGAUGGCUUAAUCAUAUUAAAAAGGCUACAUGUAAACACCUUAAUCAAUAUGAUUCAGGACGAUCUGAUGCAAAUUUGGAUCAUAUUGAAGGGGGUGGCGUACUCCGAUCUGUGAUCCAAUCAGCAGGAGAAAAGUAUGCAUGUUAACACGUGAAUCUUAGUAUUUUCUCAAUCAGAUGCAGAAAUACAUUGUGCACAUGCGCAGAACAUUUGUGCUCAAGUUCACAUCUUAUAAUUACCUGUUAUAUAACAUGAUUCUCGUCACAAAAACAUGCAAUAGCAAGCAAUGGCAUGGCGCAUUAUUAAGGUAACGUUAAUGGGGUCACGCGAUGUACAGUACAUUCUUCAGAGUUAAGCAAUAAAAUAGCUUUGUGCCUUUUGAAAAGUGUUCACCUAAUACCUAUAUCUAAAAACCUAUUAAGAAAAACUUUCCCCAACUCAGUUUUGACUUUUAUCCACAGAUAAAACUUAAACUCGACGAGAGAUGCUUUCCGCAGCGUAGCGUUGCCAAGUCCUCUGCUUCUUCAAGUUUAGGUUUGGCUACUGUUUAAACUGUUUCCACCAGUUGUUGUUUUUCUUUAGGUUAAAGAUGAAAUGAUUUUAUUGAUUAAUUAUUGACAUUUGGACUGUGGACAGUCAUUGGGAUGCUUUUGUGCUAGUUUUGAAUGUCCAUUUGGAUGGAUUUGGAACAUUUAAAUCAGAUUGCAAUGUUUAUUGUCAAUGCAUUGUCGUAACCUUCAAUCUUAUUAAAUUUAGUCGGAUUGACAAAAUUUUGUGCAUGUAAACAUAGCCAGUGAAAGCGGACUGUACCCGAAGCCAACUCGGGUACACUUAAAAGUCCCAGUAAACCGGAAAUCGCGAUCUAUGUAUUUCCAUGUAAGAUAUAAUAUCAUGCAACGAAAGUAGUUAAGCGUGGCUUGUGUUUUCAACUGUGCUUUGAUUGUAUAUAGAAGCCAUUUUAUUCAGAAAUGGAACUUGCAACAGACUGGCAGCUGGAGGGGCGGAGUAAACAGUAUAAAAUGUUUAUAAUAAACACUGCAAUAUUACAUAAAAAUA